UGGCUCAGUAGGUAGGGCAUUGCAUUUGCAAUGCCAGGGUUGUGGGUUUGAUUUCCAC
rnacentral:tRNA from 1 species